rnacentral:rRNA from 1 species
UACGGAGGGAGCUAGCGUUGUUCGGAAUUACUGGGCGUAAAGCGCACGUAGGCGGCUAUUCAAGUCAGAGGUGAAAGCCCGGGGCUCAACCCCGGAACUGCCUUUGAAACUAGAUAGCUUGAAUCCAGGAGAGGUGAGUGGAAUUCCGAGUGUAGAGGUGAAAUUCGUAGAUAUUCGGAAGAACACCAGUGGCGAAGGCGGCUCACUGGACUGGUAUUGACGCUGAGGUGCGAAAGCGUGGGGAGCAAAC